rnacentral:rRNA from 1 species
UACGGGGGGGGCAAGCGUUGUUCGGAAUUACUGGGCGUAAAGGGCUUGUAGGUGGCCAACUAAGUCAGACGUGAAAUCCCUCAGCUUAACUGGGGAACUGCGUCUGAUACUGGAUGGCUUGAGUUUGGGAGAGGGAUGCGGAAUUCCAGGUGUAGCGGUGAAAUGCGUAGAUAUCCGGAGGAACACCAGUGGCGAAGGCGGCUUUCUGGACCGACACUGACGCUGAUGCGCGAAAGCUAGGGGAGCAAACGGG